rnacentral:snRNA from 1 species
GUGCUUGCUUUGGCAGCACAUAUACUAAAAUUGGAAUGAUACAGAGAAGAUCAGCACUGCCCCUGCUCAAGGAUGACACGCAAAUUUGUGAAGAGUUCCACAUUUUU